rnacentral:lncRNA from 1 species
AUGAAAAGAAAACCAAAUGUUUGCUCAUUCUGGACUUUAAUUUUGUUUAUAUGUUUUAGGGUGUAUGUGGUGAAGAAGGUCUCGGGUCCACCUAUACCAAAUCCGGCAAAAGCUGCACACUUCCAGAACUGGUCAAGUCCAAACUUCACCAGUGAGUCCAUUCACUCCUUCCUGAAACCAGUGGAGAUCGUCUCUGUUGAAGUCACCUCCAGCGUGGAUGCCGUCACGUUCUGUGAACCAGAUGUGAAAACGAUGCCAGAAAGCAUCAGCCGCGAGUCCUCUGGUUCCAGCUUCUCCAACCCAAGCUACUCUGAGCUUUGUUCUUCUUCCACCAAGUCCUCAGCCGCAGCUGGAGACCUGAUGCCCUGCUCCAUGGAUGCUCCUUACAAGCCUGUUUGUGGCCAGGGAGAAGAGAAGAACCCAGAACAGGGUAGAGAGGGAGCUUCAGAGAAAGACAUGGAGAUCAUGAAGUUAAUUCUUAAUGGCAGUAGUGACAGCAAGGCGGUGAAGAUGAUUUCAGAAUACGAGAAGGUUAAGGACGUCCAGGUGGAGCGUUUCAGGCUACGCAGUGUUGAUUCAGGCAUGUGCAGCUGUGAGGAGGUCAGUCAGGAGAGCAUGGAGGUAGAUAGCAUCAACAUGACAGAUGGACAGGAGGAGGCAAGUCCAAGUGAAGAGAAGAAGAAAGGAGGGGAUGGGAUGAAGGUAGAUCACUUAAAGUUGGUUGGGAGGAGUGGGGGCAUGUUGGGCAGAAACACCAUUCAGGUUUGUCUGGAUUACAAACCAUUCCCAAAGCUGCAGGCUGGAAGUCCCGAGCUUCCAAGCCUGGAUUCAGGAAUUAGCUGCAGAGAGGAAGAGCGUGAGAGUCAGGAUGAUAAACCUGCUCACUUCCUGUCCCCUCCCCAUCCUUCCACUCAAUUUACUUUUCCGAGUCCACUUCUGCCCGCCCUUCCAUGCAUGUUUGAGAAGAUUCCUCUGAUGUCAGACAGCAUGCCGCUGCUGCUCUGUGAUGACGGCUACAAGCCGGUGAGACAGGAGCAGGCCUAA